AUGGCUGACUGUGGCUCUCAGUCGGAGCGUCCAGGCUCCAGCCCGCGGGGUCCAGGUGUGCAGGCGUGUGCAGGCUGCAGACAGUGGGGAGCUGAGCUGGACAGAGCUCAGAGGAUGGCGCCUGGAGCGGGGGGAGGCAACCGUGGGAUCGCGGCGCUCGGGGGUGUCGCCACGGGGGCAGCUCAUGGGCAGCAGAAUGGCCCCUUGAGCCUCAGCUCUCGUGCCAGUGCCACAGCGUUCCUGGAGUCGGUCAGCGUCCUUGUCCACCGCAGCUGUGAGAAGACUGAGUUGGCAUUUUCCACGCUAAGUGGAACGUCCAGAUUUGGAAGGAAGUUCAUGAAACCACUUUCAGCUUCGGAGCGCUUGCUCACCGGGUGCUGUAGGCCUGCUCUUGACGAGCUCCGCGUCCAGUGCUCAGGACAGCCUGCGCACAAAGCUUAUCUAGGCAAGACUGUUACCAAUGCUGUGGUCACUGUGCCAGCUUACUUCAAUGACUCUCAGCGUCAGGCAACCAAAGAUGCUGGAACUAUUGCUGGUCUUAAUGUACUUAGAAUUAUCAACGAACCAACUGCUGCUGCUAUUGCUUAUGGCUUAGACAAAAAGGUUGGAGCUGAAAGAACUGUGCUGAUUUUUGACUUAGGAGGUGGCACUUUUGAUGUGUCAAUCCUCACUAUUGAGGAUGGAAUCUUUGAACUGAAAUCUACAGCUGGAGACACCCACUUAGGUGGAGAAGAUUUUGACAAUCGAAUGGUCAAUCAUUUCAUUGCUGAAUUCAAGCACAAGCACAAGAAGGACAUCAGUGAGAACAAAAGAGUUGUCCGCCGUUCGCGUACUGCAUGUGAGCGAGCUAAGAGAACCCUCUCUUCUAGCACCCAAGCCAGUAUUGAGAUUGAUUCUCUCUAUGAAGGAAUCGACUUCUACACCUCCAUUACCAUGCUUGCUUUGAAGAGUUUAUGCUGACCUGUUCCGUGGCACUCUAGACCCUGUGGAGAAGGUUUUUCAAGAUGCCAAACUGGACAAGUCUCAGAUCCAUGACAUUGUCCUAGUGGACGGUUUUACUGUAUCCCCAAGAUCCAGAGGCUUUUACAAGACUUCUUCAAUGGAAAAGAAUUGAAUAAGAGCAUCAGUCCUGAUGAGGCUGUUGCUUAUGGUGUAGCGGUUCAGGCAGCCAUUUUAUCUGGAGACAAGUCUGAAAAUGUUCAAGAUUUGCUGCUGCUGUAUGUCACUCCUCUUUCUCUUGGUAUUGAAACUGCUGGUGGUGUCAUGACAGUUCUCAUCAAGCGCAAUACCACCAUUCCUACCAAGCAGACCCAGACCUUCACUACCUACUCGGACCACCAUCCUGGCAUGCUCAUUUGGGUAUAUGAAGGUGAGUGAGCCAUGACCAAGGAUAACAACCUGCUUGGCAAGUUUGAACUCACAGGCAUACCUCCCGCACCCCGUGGUGUUCUUCAGAUUGAAGUAACUUUUGAUAUUGAUGCCAGUGGCAUCCUCAGUGUUUCUGCAGUUGAUAAAAAUACCGGAAAAGAGAACAAGGUUACCAUCACUAAUGAUAAGGGCUGUUUGAGCAAGGAGGACAUAGAGUGUAUGGUCCAGGAAGCAGAGAAGUACAAAGCUGAAGAAGAGAAGCAAAGGGACAAAGUGUCCUCCAAGAACUCAUUGGAAUCCUAUGCUUUCAAUGAAAGCUACUGUUGAAGAUGAGAUGCUGCAAGGCAAGAUUAAUGAUGAAGAUAAACAGAAGAUUCUUGACAAGUGUAAUGAGAUCAUCAACUGGCUGGAUAAGAAUCAGACUGCGGAGAAAGAGGAACACCAGGGCGAGGAGAAGGUGACAGGUGACGUUGGAGAUGCAAGUGGGAGACAUGCCACAAAGGGGCUCCUCUUCAUGAAUGCACUUCUGUACAAUUGA